ACGUUAGUCAGUUAACUUUAAGAUAGAUGUCGUGGUGUGUCGAUAGAGGGCUCUCGGUCCUUUUUAGAAGAUGUGAGAGACAACAUGUAUAAGAUGGAGUUUGUUACAUGGUGUCAGGUGAAACACCUGAGAACUGAAAAAGAAGAAAGAAAAGGAAAAGGA